rnacentral:tRNA from 1 species
GUUUCCGUGGUGUAGCGGUCAUCACGCUGGCCUCCCACGCGAGAGCUCCCCGGUGCGAAACCGGGCGGGAGCA